rnacentral:rRNA from 1 species
GGGGGAAAAUUAAUUAUUAUUUAAAUAAAAAAAGUAGUUUUUAUAUUAAAAUAUUUAAUGGGGGUUAAAGUAUUUUAGUAGAAAAAAUUAUAAUUUUUAUAGUAAAUUAGUAUUGUGAAAGAAUUUUGAAAUAAUUUAAAUAAUAAUUUAUUAAAAAGUAAUUUUAAUUUAUUGUAUCUUGUGUAUCAGAGUUUAUUAAAUAUAUUUUUAUGGGUUAAAAAUUCUCGAAUUUAAAAGAGUUAAUUAAUUAAUUAAGUUAUUGUUGCAUAAAUAUUUAAAAUAAUUAAUUAGAAAUGAAAUGUUAAUCGUUUUUAAAUAUAUCUAGUUUUUUUAGAAAAAAAUUUAAUUUUAAAUUUUAAUUUAAUAUUAAUAAUUAAUUUAUUAUAUAUUAUAAAUUAAAAUUUUAUAUUUUAAGGGAUAAGCUUUAAAUUAUAUUUAUAUAAUUUAAAUUUAAUUUUUGAAAAUUAUAUAAUUUAAAUUGUUAAUAAAUUUUAAUUUAUUAUAAAUAAUUUCAUUUAAUUAUAAAAUUUAAUUUAAAAUUUAUUUUUAUAUAAAAAAAAAUUUUUUAAUAUUGUAAAAUUAUUUAUAAUGAUAAAAUUAGUAUAUAUUAUUUAUUUAUAAAAUAUAUUUUAUUAAUAAAAUUAAUAAAAAGGAAUUCGGCAAAUUUUUAUAUUCACUUGUUUAUCAAAAACAUGUCUUUUUGAAUUUAAUUUAAAGUCUAAUCUGCCCACUGAUUGAAUUAUUAAAGGGCUGCAGUAUUUUGACUGUACAAAGGUAGCAUAAUCAAUAGUCAUUUAAUUGAUGACUUGUAUGAAAGAUUGGAUGAGAUAUAAACUGUCUUUUUUUUAAUUUAUAGAAUUUAAUUUUUUAAUUAAAAAGUUAAAAUAUGAUAAAAAGACGAGAAGACCCUAUAGAGUUUAAUAUAAAAAUUAAUUAAGAUUAUAUAUAAAUUUUAUUUAAAUUAAAAUUAUUUUUGGUAUUUUGUUGGGGUGACAAAAAAAUAAAAUUAACUUUUUUUUUCUAUUAACAUAGAUAAGUGAUUAAUUGAUCCAAUUUUAUUGAUUAUAAGAAAAAAUUACCUUAGGGAUAACAGCGUAAUUUUUUUUUUUAGUUCAAAUAAAAAAUAAAGUUUGCGACCUCGAUGUUGGAUUAAGAUAAAAUUUAAAUGUAGAAGUUUAAAAUUUUGAUCUGUUCGAUCAUUAAAAUCUUACAUGAUCUGAGUUCAAACCGGUGUAAGCCAGGUUGGUUUCUAUCUUUUAUUAAUUAAAAUAUUUUAGUACGAAAGGAAUAAUUAUUUAAAUUAAAUUUUAAAAAAGAAUUUCAUUAAUAAUAAAAAGAAUUAUAGUUUUUAAAUAA